UACAGAGGGUGCAAGCGUUGUUCGGAAUUAUUGGGCGUAAAGCGCGUGUAGGCGGCAUGGCAAGUCGGGUGUGAAAGCCCUCAGCUCAACUGAGGAAGUGCGCCCGAAACUGCUUUGCUUGAGUGCUGGAGAGGGUCGCGGAAUUCCCCAAGUAGAGGUGAAAUUCGUAGAUAUGGGGAGGAACACCGGUGGGCGAAGGCGGCGACCUGGACAGUAACUGACGCUGAGACGCGAAAGCGUGGGUAGCAAACAGG
rnacentral:rRNA from 1 species